CCGCGCGUAGUCCAACGGGUAGGAGACAUCGCCCUCAAGAGGCGAACAGUGUGCGUUCGAAUCGCACCGCGCGGACCA
rnacentral:tRNA from 1 species